UGACCCGUCUUGAAACACGGACCAAGGAGUCUAGCGUGUGCGCGAGUCAUUGGGAUAUACUAAACCUAAAGGCGAAAUGAAAGUAAACGUCUGCCUUGUGCGGACUUAGGGAAGAUGAUCGGUCUCCAUGACCGUUCCGCAUUCCCGGGGCGUCUCAUUCUCAUUGCGAGACGAGGCGCACCAAGAGCGUACACGCUGGGACCCGAAAGAUGGUGAACUAUGCCUGGUCAGGACGAAGUCAGGGGAAACCCUGAUGGAGGUCCGUAGCGAUUCUGACGUGCAAAUCGAUCGUCGGAACUGGGUAU
rnacentral:rRNA from 1 species